rnacentral:lncRNA from 1 species
CCUUUGCUGUGCAAAAGCUUGUCAGUUUGUUUAGGUCCCAAUGGUUUAUUUCUGUUGCUUUGGGAGACUGACCUGAGAAAAUAUUCAUAAGGUUGAUAUUAGAGAAUGUUUUGCCUAUGUUCUCUUCUAGGCGUUUGAUGGUGUCUUGUCUUAUAUUCAAGUCUUUGAGCCAUUUUGAGUUUAUUUUCAUGCAUGGUGUGAAGGUGUGCUCUAGUUUCAUUGAUUUGCAUGCAGCCAUCCAGGUUUCCCAGCACCACUUACUGAAAAGACUAUCCUUUUUACAUUUUAUGUUUUUGCCUCCUUUGUCAAAGAUUAAUUGACCAUAAGUGUCAGGGUUUAUUUCUUGGUUCUCUAUUCUGUUCCACUGGUCUAUAUGUCUGUUUUGGUACCAGUACCACACUGUCUUAUGACUGUGGCUUUGUAAUAGUGCCUGAAGUCUGGGAGAGUUAUGCCUCCUGCCUGGUGUUUGUUUCUCAGGAUUGCUUUGGCAAUUCUGGGUCUUUUGUGGUCCCAUAUAAAUGUUUGGAUUGUUUGUUCUAGUUCUUUGAAAAAUGUCCUGGGUAAUUUGAUAGGGAUUGCAUUGAAUCUGUAGACUGCAUUUUUACAAUAUUAAUUUUUCCAACCCAGGAGCAUGGAAUAUAUUUCCAUUUUUUUACAUCUUCUUUAAUUUCCUUGAUUAAUGUCUUAUAGUUCUCAGCAUAUAUAUCUUUUACAUCCUUGGUCAGGUGUAUUCCCAGGUAUUUGAUUUUUUGGGGGUGCAAUUUUAAAGGAUAUUGUAUUUUUGUAUUCCUUUCUAAUAUUUCAUUGUUUGUAUAUAGAAAUGUGACUGAUUUCUGAAUGUUAAUCUUAUAUCCUGCUACUUUGCUGAAUUCAUCGACCAGUUCAAGUAGUUUUUGGGUUGAGUCCGUAGGGUUUUCUAUAUAUAUAGUAUCAUGUCAUCUGCACACAGUGAUAGUUUUACCUCUUCUCUUCCUAUUUGGAUGCCUUUUUUUUCUUUUAUUUUUCUGAUCGCUGUGGCUAGGACUUCCAAUACUAUGUUGAAUAAUAGUGGUGAGAAGGUACAUCCUUGUUUUGUUCUAGAUUUUAAUGGGAAGGCCUUCAGCUUUUCUCCACUGAGUAUUAUAUUUACUGUGGGUUUGUCAUAAAAGACUUUAAUUAUGUUAAGGUAUGUUCCCUCUAUACCCACUUCGGUAAGACUUUUGAUCAUGAAUAGACUUUGUCAAAAUGCUUUUUCUGCAUCUACUGAGUUGAUCAUGUGGUUUUUGACUUUUCUUUUGUUAAUGUGAUGUAUAACAUUGAUUGAUUUUUUUCUUUUUUGGUGGUAUCUUUAGUUUCAGAAUUAGGGUGAUGGUGGUGUCAUACUAUGUCUUUGGGAGUGUUCCUUCUUCUUCAACCUUUUGAAAAAGUUUAAGGAGGAUGGAUAUAAGUUCCUCUUUGUAUGUUUGGUAGAAUUCACCUAUGAAGCCAUCUGGUCCUGAGCUUUUAUUUGUAGGGAGUGUUUUUAUGGCAUGUUCAAUUUCAUUUCUAAUGAUCAUUCUGUUCAGUUGAUCUAUUUCUUCUUAAUUCAGUUUUGGCAGGCUGUAAGUCUCUAGGAAGUUGUCCAUAACUUGUAGAUUGUCAAAUUUGUUGGCAUACAAUUGUUCAUAGUAUUCUUUCACGGUUUUUUGUAUUUCUAUACUAUCUGUUGUGACUUCUCCUUUUUCAUUUCUGAUUUUGUUUAUUUGGCUUUUUUCUCUCCUCUUCUUGGUGAGUCUAGCCAGAGGUUUGUCAAUUUUGUUUACCUUUUCAAAGAUCCAGCUCUUGGUUUUAUUGAUUUCUUCUAUUGUUUUUUUAAUCUCUAUUUUAUUGAUUUCCUCUUUGAUCUUUAUGAUUUCCUUCCUUCUGCUGACUCUAGGUUUUUCUUGUUCUUCUUUUUCUAAUUCAUUUAGGUGUUGGUUUAAGUUGUCAAUUUGAGAUUUUUCUUCUUUUUUGAGGAAGGCCUGCAUUGGUAUGAACUUCCCUCUGAGCACUGCUUUUGUGGCAUCCCAUAGAUUUUGAGUGGAUGUGUCUUCAUUAUCAUUUGUCUCAAGGUAUUUUUUAAUUUCCUUCUUGAUUUCCUCAUUGACCCUAUUGGUUUUUUAGUAGCUGUUUAGUAUCCACAUAGUCAGUUUUUUUCUCAUUUCUUUUCCUGUCAUUGAUUUCUAGUUUCAUGCCAUUGUGGUCAGAGAAGAUACUUGAAAUAAUUUCUAUAUUCUUAAAUUUGUUGAGGUUAGCUUUGUGCCCCAAUAUGUGAUCAAUUCUUGAGAAUGUUCCAUGUGCACUUGAGAAGAAUGUAUAUUCUGAUUUUUUUUGGAUGUAAUGUCCUGAAAAUACCGAUUAAGUCUAACUUUUCUAUUGUGUCCUUUAGGAUAUCUGUUGCCUUAUUGAUUUGCUGUCUAGAGGAUCUGUCCAUUGUUGUGAGUGGGGUGUUAAAGUCUCCUACUAUUAUUUUAUUCCCAUUGAUUUCUCAUUUUAUGUCUGUUAGUAUUUGUUGUAGGUAUCUGGGUGCUCCUAUAUUAGGGGCAUAUAUAUUGAAAAUUGUAAUAUCCUCUUCUUGAAUAAUCAUUUAACCAUUAAAUAGUGUCCUUCUUUGUCUUUCUUAAUGGUCUUCAUUUUAAAGUCUAUUUUGUCUAUUUUUUCAGAUAUGAGUAUUGCAACUCCUGCUUUUCUGUCUUGUCUAUUGCCAUGAAAUAUCUUUUCCCAUCCCCUCACUUUCAAUCUAUAUGUGUCCUUUGCUCUAAGAUGAGUUUCUUGUAGGAAGUGGAUUGAAGGAUUUGCUUUUUUAUCCAAUCUUCCACUCUGUGUCUUUUGAUUGGAACAUUUACUCCAUUGACAUUUAAGUUGAUUAAUGAAAGAUACAUAUUUAUUGCCAUUUUAAACCUUGUUUUCUGGUUGAUUCUGUUUCUCUUUUCUUCUUUUCUUUUUUGGGUUGGAUGGUUUCCAUUUAUUUUAUGCUUGAGUACUUUUCAGUUUUUGUGAAUGUAAUGUUUGGUUUUGAUUUGUGAUUGCCCUGUUUUUUAAGCAUGUUAAGCCCUUCCUAUAUCUGCUUGCUUUUGCCUGAUAGUCAUAUAGGCUCAGACACGUCAUUAAAAUAAAAAAAAAGAAUCUAUAUUUUCUUACUUUCCUUCCUCACAUUGUAUGAUUUUGAUGUCUUUUUUUUUAAACAUGUUAAUGUUUAGAUCUGUAUGCUGGCUUAUUUAAGUGAUUGCUUUCCAAUUGUGGUUUCCUCUAUCAUAAUUCUUCUCUUUCUCUUUUUUUUCCUCUCUCUCUCUCUCUCUCUUUUUUAAUUUAGAGAAGCCCUUUCAGUAUUUCUUUUAGAAUGGGUUUAGUAUUGCUGUGCUCUUUUAGCUUUUGUUUAUUGGAGAAUUCUAUAUUUCCCCUUCUAAUUUAAAUGAUAUUCUCACUGGAUAGAGUAUGCUAAGUUUCAUUUUUUUUUUCCUUUCAGCACUGUAAAUAUAUCUUGCCACUCCCUUCUGGUCUGUAGUGUUUCUGUAGAGAAAUCAGCUGAUUGCCUUAUGGGGGUUCCCUUAUAAUUAAUGCUUUGCUUUUCUCUUGCUGCCUUUAGAAUUCUCUCUUUAUCUUUCACUUUUGCUAUUUUUAUUAUAACAUGGGUUUUAGCUUGCUUGGGUUCAGCUUGCUUGGGGUCCUCUGUGCUUCCUGUAUCUUGAUAUCAGUAUCCUUUAGAUUUGGAAAGUUUUCAGCCAUAAUUCCUUCAAAUGUAUUUUCAAUCCCCCUUUCUUUGCCUUUUUCUUUUCCUUCUGGAAUUCCUAUUAUGUGUAGAUUGGCCAGCUUUAUAUUAUCCCAUAGGUCUCUUUUAUUGCUUUGAUGUUUUUUCCAUUUGGUUUUCUGUCUGCUGUCCUGAUUAACUGAUUUCCAUUAUUUUGUCUUCCACGUCACUAAUUUGUUCCUGUGCAUUAUUCAUUCUGUUCUUUAUUGCUUUAAGCUCAGUUUGUAUCUCUGCAAAUGAGUUUUCUGGUUUUUCUUGGCUCCUCCUUAUAUUUUCUAGUUCCUUUCUAAAGGUAUCUACAUUACUGUUAAUAUCUUCUCUUAAUUCCUUCAGAAUUUUCAAUACCUCCCUUUUUAACUCUAUGUCUGACAGACUACAGAGGUCUGUUUUGUUGUUAGGUGAAUUCUCCUGUUCCUUUAACUGGGAAUGGUUUCUUGAUUCUUCAUCUUGCUUGUGUUUUUCUUUUACUGUGCGUUUGGGGAAGCCAAACUCUGGUCUUUUAAGUCUACUUCUAUGCAAGAAUACCCCUUUGUAUUUUUGGGGGGUUACUAUUUAUUUUUGGUGUGGGAGUUUGAAUAUUUGCUGUCUCUUUCUUCAGUGUGAGCAGGCUGUUGUUCCCAGGAUGCUCAGUGUGUUUUCAGGGAGAAGGAGGCAAUGGGUAGGGCCAGCAGUCAGUGCCUGGUCAUUGGGCUCUCAAUAGCAGGAAGGACCUGCAGGAAGGUGGCACAGACUACUCCUAGUUGCAGGGCCCUGGGAAGUGGUAAUAAGUUCUAGGCAGAUCUUCAAGGUGACCAGAGCAUUUGUCAGUAGCAAUAGUAGGGUGCAUGAGUUCCCAGGGGAGUGAGAGCAACCACAGCUUGUGUUUGAUUGCAAUGCCCUCCUCUGUGGUGACUGGAACUGCAGGUGGUGCCUGUUCAGCGACCCCUGUUGGGAGCAGGCCAUGACCAUCUCUAAAGUAGUGAUAACUGCAGUGGUUUGCCCCCACCACCUGUAGACCAUGCAUGAAGCAAACCGUCUCACUCAGCCCACAUACAAGGUGUUGUAAAGGGUGCUCCUAGUUGCAGGAUCCUGGGAAGUGACAGAGAUCAGG